CUCAAACCUAAAAUCUCUAUCCAAAAUCCUGCCUUAAAACUACUUAAGCCGGUGCUAAAUUUAUUAAGUGUUAGGGAAAGCCGUAGGCCUCUCUUACAAGAGCCAAUAGAGGAUAUUUGGGUGCACGUAAAUUCAAUUUUUAACUCAAGGAGUACAUCAAGAAAUGUACAUGUGUUUAAGAAAUCAAAGCAUUUGCUUCUGGAAUAGGGAGGCGUUGGCGUUUUGAUCAAGAAAUUUCUCAUGAAGAUUUACAAUCUUGAUUUCGAUUCCUUAAUUUGCUUUGGUCCUAUGAGCAUAUAGAUUUAAAGAAUGUUGCAUGAG
rnacentral:misc_RNA from 1 species